CCUACGGGAGGCUGCAGUGGGGAAUUUUCCGCAAUGGGCGAAAGCCUGACGGAGUGACGCCGCGUGGGGGACGAAGGCCUUCGGGUCGUAAACCCCUGUCAGAGGGAAAGAAGGGUGUCGGCGCGAUAACCGCCGGCAUUUGACGGUACCUUCAGAGGAAGCCCCGGCCAACUCUGUGCCAGCAGCCGCGGUAAGACAGAGGGGGCAAGCGUUGCUCGGAAUCACUGGGCGUAAAGGGCGCGUAGGCGGGAUGGCAAGUCAGUCGUGAAAUCUCUCGGCUCAACCGAGAAACGUCGGCUGAUACUGCCGUUCUUGAGGGAUGCAGAGGAGACUGGAAUUCCCGGUGUAGCGGUGAAAUGUGUAGAGAUCGGGAGGAACACCGGUGGCGAAGGCGGGUCUCUGGGCAUCUCCUGACGCUGAGGCGCGAAAGCGUGGGGAGCAAACGGGAUUAGAUACCCGUGUAGUC
rnacentral:rRNA from 1 species